UGAGGAAUAUUGGUCAAUGGGCGUAAGCCUGAACCAGCCAAGUCGCGUGAGGGAAGACGGUCCUAUGGAUUGUAAACCUCUUUUGUCGGGGAGCAAAGAGGCCACGUGUGGUCAAAAGCGAGAGUACCCGAAGAAAAAGCAUCGGCUAACUCCGUGCCAGCAGCCGCGGUAAUACGGAGGAUGCGAGCGUUAUCCGGAUUUAUUGGGUUUAAAGGGUGCGUAGGCGGGACGGUAAGUCAGCGGUAAAAAUGCGGAGCUCAACUCCGUCGAGCCGUUGAAACUGCCGUUCUUGAGUGAGCGAGAAGUAUGCGGAAUGCGUGGUGUAGCGGUGAAAUGCAUAGAUAUCACGCAGAACUCCGAUUGCGAAGGCAGCAUACCGGCGCUCAACUGACGCUGAAGCACGAAGGCGUGGGUAUCGAACAGGAUUAGAUACC
rnacentral:rRNA from 1 species